rnacentral:rRNA from 1 species
AUUGAACGCUGGCGGCAGGCCUAACACAUGCAAGUCGAACGAGUGGCGGACGGGUGUGUCAUGCUUGGGAAUCUAGCUUAUGGAGGGGGAUAACUACGGGAAACUGUAGCUAAUACCGCGUACCAUAGGCUGAGCCCAAGUGGGAUGAGGUAGUUGGUGAGGUAAAGGCUCACCAAGCCGACGAGCUCUAGCUGGUCUGAGAGGAGGACCAGCAACACUGGGACUGAGACACGGCCCAGACUCCUACGGGAGGCAGCAGUGGGGAAUAUUGCGCAAUGGGGGCAACCUGACGCAGCCAUGCCGCGUGAGGGAAGAAGGCCUUCGGGUUGUAAAGUUCUUUCGGUAGCGAGGCGUUAACUACAGAAGAAGCACCGGCUAACUACGUGCCAGCAGCCGCGGUAAUAC